rnacentral:misc_RNA from 1 species
UUCUAUUCCCUAUUAAUCUUCUGGAGAAUCAUUUAAUGAGUUUCAUUAGUGUAUUAAUUUAAAACACAAUAAUUUAUUAAAUCACAUAUCAAAAAGAAUAAUCCAUUCUACACAAUACUAUAUAACAUAUAACAAACCAUUUCCAAUAUUGGAUUUCCAAGAUUGGAUUCUGAUUAUUAAUAAAUUAUUAACAAUUAUAAAAGUCUUCAAAACACUUACUUUUCCUGGCUGUAGCUCGCGUCUUCGGUCUCCUACCUUUCUGUUCUGGUACAUUAUUCUCCUUGUGAAGCACUCGUUGUGGCAGGAAUCGAUAAACGAGCUAAAUCAUAAUCAAUGGAAAAGUUUGUGAACCUACUUGUUAACACGCUAGGUUUGCCAAGAGCCAAGUACCGUUUCCUGGCAACCUGAACGGCCGCGAAGUCUGGCUUAUGAUUGUGCUCCAUACGCACCCUUGGCUUCGUCCAACUCGUGGUAGUGAUAAGACUGCCUCUACAAUGCAUAGUUCUGCGAACACAUCUCCAUCGGAUAUUGUACGGUUGCUUCUUGUGCAAUGUAUACAUAUAACCGUGGUGAAUUAAUUUUGGCCCGCCUUUAUUCGAUAGUACAACCUGCAGAGUUCGGAAUCUUUAAUUAGACGUUUCAUGUUCUAUAGUCAUAUGAAAGUACUAUUAAAUAUAAAAUUAAAUAUACUUAGAUCUAUUUAAUUAAUAU